AGAAAAUUAGACACAAAAUAUGAGCCAUGACCAGGCCCAACCAACCACCAUGAUACAACCAAGUAUAGUUUUAGGUUUCGACGGACAUAAAACCAUACAGAAUUUAAAAUUUAUUCUCGGAAGAGGCUUCAUCUACUCUUCUCUGGGGCAAAACACAACUCCCCUGUAUCUGCAGGCCUCCAUGAGGAGGGCUCGUCUAGUUGGUGCUGUGCAUGUGACGGAUCAGGUCGAUCACACGGGUGCUGUAUCCCCAUUCGUUGUCGUACCAGGACACAAGCUUCACGAACGUGUCGCUCAAAGCAAUGCCAGCCUUGGCAUCAAAGAUGCUGGACCUGCUGUCACCCUGGAAGUCAGUGGAAACAAGGUCCUCCUCAACGUAUCCAAGGAUGCCCUUGAGCUUGCCCUCAGCCUCCUCCUUGAUUGCAGCCUUGAUCUGGUCAUAGCUGGCGGGCUUCUCAAGCCUAACAGUCAGAUCAACAACGGAAACAUCGACUGUGGGAACACGGAAAGCCAUUCCA
rnacentral:misc_RNA from 1 species